GUCUGGUGAAGGGAUCCCCCCAGAGAAGCCUACAUCUGCACCCCCAAAUAUGGAGCUUUGUCUCUUAGGAACAGGGAUUGCACUGGAGGUGUGAUGUCUGUCACUAGAAGAGAAACAAAAACAAGAAGUUACUUUGGACUUCAGAACUCAGUGUAAGCCUUCUGGAUCCAGAGACAGGGAACAGCAUACUUAGGUCUGAGCUAAUAAAAAUAGAUAAGAAUCAAUCUUAGACAAUAGUUAUUGCAGUGUCUCAAUGCAAAAAACAACAUGAGGUAUGUGGGUCCAACUUUGGGAGCUUCCUUCCAGCAGGAUACAGACACACUGCAAUAUAUUUAGAGAAGAGGGCCCAAGGCAGGGCAGGGAACAGAAACCCUGUCCUAUGGGGAAGAGGUGAAGUAACUGGACAGGCUGGAUCUAGCAAGAAAAACAUGUGAAGGAUAUAACUAACUUCAUAUUUCUGAAGGGCUAUCCAUAAUCUCAUUCUUGUUUUAGUAUUCAAUUCAAUUCUUAUUUUAGCUUUGAAAAGCAGGCAUCCUCAUCUGGCAGAGAAUUUACAUGACUUGCCCAUGCUCAGUGAGGCAGUGAGAAGGAUUUCAUGACCAACAACCUUGCCAACACCCAAAUGCUAACCACCUUGCAUUAGAGGACUGGCAGAGGAGGGAGGGAGAGAGAGAGAGAGAGAGAGAGAGAGAGAGAGAGAGGGAGGGAGGGAGGGAGGGAGGGGGAGAGGGGGAGGGAGGGAGGGAGGGAGGGAGAGAGAGAGAGUCAAGGUUAUAUUUUAAAAAUUAAAAAAAAUUUUUGAGGGGUUCCUUUUUUUUUUUUAAAAUGAAAAACUAACUUGGGAAAUACAUUCUUUGAUGGGGCUAGCCACACAUAUGUUUUACAAUACUUGGUCUGCAAUGCUGUCUUUUGGGUCUGAGUUUCUUCUCAGGAGGGUAUCUUUGGGCCAGCAAUAACAAUCAUUGUUCAGUUAUACAAACUUUAUAAUUUCUGAAGUAAUUUCCUAUACAUCAUUUCACUUAGUCUUUACAAAAACCCUAUAGAGAAAGCAGGGUAAAGUCUGAAAUAAUAAAUAAUAAUCAGUUAAUGGAAAUAGAGUAUCUACAUCCUGGAAAUGAUGGCUAUGUUAUACACUAUGCUAGCUCUAGACAUUCUUGUAUGUGGAUGAAAUUAGCUUCAAUACAACCAUAUGAACAGAUUGGGUCCAGAGGCAGAGGGAGGCACACACAGAUCAUUUGACUUGCGUGCUUCAGAUGAGGAAACACGCAUAGAGGGUUAAGUGGCUUGCAGAAGGGCAACCACUAGGCAGGGGUAGAGGCAGAACUUGAAACUACACACACCCAACAAAUAGUUCCCAUAUGUGCCUGGCCUUGGGGUAGGGAGACAGAUGCAAGACCAGUAGGCCCUUCCUCCAAGGAGCUACCAGUCCUGCAGGAGAAAGACAUCCCUCAUUAUUCAAAUAAUACAUUUUCAAAUUACAAUAGCAAGAAGUGCCCUAGAAAAGAAAAGAGAUCUGGGGUUUCUUCCACUUGUGUCUACAGCCACAAGCCCUGGCCCCAGCUCCCUGCUCUCUCUCCUCUGAUGCAGGAUUAUACUUGCAGUCUCAGACACCCAAGCAAGGGUUAUUCUUGGGAAGGGGCAACCACACGGCUUCUAAUCCUUGGGUCUGUCAGACUCCUCUGCCUGGCUGUGAGUACUGGUGCCAGGAGAGAUUUCAUAAUUAGGCGUGGUCACUGGGGUACAUAUAGAACUAGGCAAGUAGACUAGUAAAUUACAGUGUUUAGUUCUCCAGAAAAACAAAACAAAACAGGGCAAAAUCUGCUGGCCUCGAUCUAGGUUUAUAGUUAAUAUGUUGCCCAAAUUCACAAUAAUUGGGUAAGCUACACAUUUUUGCAAGCCUUGUUUUUACUCUACCAUUUGCUAACAGUGUCCCUCUCUAAAUCAUCUUGCAGGUUGACUAGGUACUCAAACCAAAAGAGAACAUCAGCACCACCUCAGACAGUCUAUUCUGUGCAGAAAAGCCAAGCUUUCAUUUGCCAGCCCAGCCCACGAGGGGUGGAAGCACCAGGUGAAACAGCCCGGAACACUGAAGGUGACUUGUUGGUGUGUGGCUAGAGCCAGGUGCUUAACCCCUCAUGCUGUGACCCUGCGCUGCCAUCCUCCCACCCCAGAAAUCCUGCUCUGCUGUUUUGUGGGGCUCCCAGUGGGCUGAUAAAAGGCAGGGCAUGAGAAACAGGCCUGGGGCACACCCAGCAGUGCUUGCCGCACAAGAGGAACAGGGUGUUUGUAGCCCUCGUUGAGUUUGAGAACUCUAAAAGUUCUCAACUUUGUACAACAGAAAACUAAUGAGGCGCGACAACCCCCACUGCCCCACCUUGCCAACUACAAUGUGAAGGGAACGACCAUUUUCCCGACUGUCAAUAAUGUUCUGAGCCCCGUGGAAGAUGAGCUGCCCACACAGAGCCCUCGAGUGUCCUGUGAGGAAGAUAGGCAGGUGGUGGGUCAUGUGGUUUGUUCAAGGCUGAAGAACCACAUCUGAACUAGAUUCUGUCUGACUCCAGAGCCCAUCCUAUCUAUUGUGUCCCACAAGGGAACACGACAUUCAAAUUCAAGUAACAUUUGCUAAGUGCCAAAGACAUAGUACACAUCAAGCUAAAUGCCUUCUCAUUUGCCCACAAACUCUAAGAUGGUAAUGUUAUUCCUCUUUUCAUGGAUGGACUCCAAGGCUUUGAGAGGUGGGAACUUUGGUAUUUUCUGACAUCCUGAUUUUGUGACAUUCUUCUCCAGUUCCCUUGGAUUUGUAUGAAAACUCAAGUAAUGGUAGUAUCAGAUUCAAACUGGAAAAUCCAAGUACCAGUAAAAGGUUCUCUCUCUUUUUAUUUUUUAAUUUAAAAAAAAAUUUUUUUAGAGACAAAGUCUCACUCUGUUGCUCAGGCUAGAGUACACUGGUGUGAUCACAGCUCACUGCAGCCUCAACUCCUGGCCUUAAGGGAUCCUCCCACCUCAGUCUCCCAAGUAGCUGGGACUACAGGUGUGUGCCACGAUGCCCGGCUAAUGUUUUUUAUUUUUAAUUUUUUUUUAGAGACAGGAUCUCAUCAUCUUGCACACACUGGUCUCAAACUCCUGGGCUCAAGUGAUCCUCUUGCCUUGGCCUCCCAAAAUAUUGGGAUUACAGGUGUGAGCCACAGGUCCCAGCCAAAAUGGUCUCUCUUAAGAAUGCUUUUCUUACCAUCUUAAAAAAGUUGAACAAGAAAAGGCAUUUUCUCGUUGCCUCUGGGCCACUGAUAUGAACAUUACUGAGCGAUGACACAAUAAGGGGACUACAGGAUGUUCAGUGGUGUCUGUUCUGUAGGACGCAGGUCUGGAGCUCUAGAGACAGUGGCGACAAGAAGGACUGUUCAAAGACCUGGAUUCUACUCUUAGCUCUGCCACUAUGAUCCCACCUAUAUGGAGUUACAACUUAAGGUUACAUUCGUUUAUUAGUUAUAUCAGUGCUCCUCAAUCUUUUUGGCACCAGGUACCCGUUUUGUGGAAGACAAUUUUCCUAUGGAUUUGGGGGUGGGGAUAUGAAACCUCCACCUCAGAUCAUCAGGCGUUAGUUAGAUUCUCAUAAGGAGCACACAACCUAGAUCCCUCAAAUGUACAAUUCACAACAGGAUUCGUGCUCCUAUGAGAGUCUAAUACCAUGGCUGAUCUGAUGGGAGGCGGAGCUCAGGGGGUAAUGCUCGCUCACCCUCCAUCGCCUCCUGCUGUGCGGCCCGGUUCUUAACAGGCCACAGACGGGUAAAAGUCUGUGGCCCGGGGGUUGGGCACCCCUGAGUUAUAUGACUGUGGGCAUAUUUAAUGACUAUUUAUAAAAUAGAUCGACUACAGUAAGUAAUAAAUAAAAUAAUGUGCUUAAAAUCGUUGGCAGGAUGCCUGGCAUAGACACUAGCGUCAGUAGUAGUUGUAAUUGUGGUGGUUGUCAUUAUGAUUCGUUUCAGUAGGCUUCAAAUUCCAAGUAUUAUUCUCAUUUUACAGAAGGCGCAACUGAGACUCAGACAUAUUCAUGUCUUGCACAGGAACACAGGGUAAUAGGUAGAAGAAGGACUGGAAUCUAAAUCUCCUUCCCUUUACUGUUUCUCUUAUACAGCAUACUGUUUCAAGCAGGAACAAACGAAACUCCUACCACCUACCUUCCCACACCUCCACUUCUGUACAUCAGGGAGCUAGCUGCAAGAAGGAAAUAAAGAAGUACAGUGCCAGGCGUGGUGGCUUAUGUCUGUAGUCCCAGCACUUAGGGAGGCUGAGGUGGGAGGAUCACUGGAGCCCAGGAGGUUGAGCUUGCAGUGAGCUAUGAUCAUGCUACUGCAUUCCAGCUUGGAUGAAAGUAAGACUCCCCCGCCCACCAAAAAAAAAAAAAAAAAAGGCCAGGUGUGGUGGCUCAUGCCUGUAAUCCCAGCACUUUGGGAGGCCAAGGUGGGUGGAUCACCUGAGGUCAGGAGUUCGAGAUCAGCCUGGCCAACAUGGCAAAACCCCAUCUCUACUAAAAAUACAAAAAUUAGCCCGGUGUAGUGGUGGGCACCUGUAAUCCCAGCUGCACGGGAGGCUGAGGCAGGAGAGCAGGAGAAUCUCUUGAACCCAGGAGGUGGAGGUUGCGUGAACCGAGAUUGCAGUACUGCACUCCAGCCUGGGCAACAGAGUGAGACUCCGUCUCAAAAAAAAAAAAAGAAAAGAAAAAAAGAAAAAAAAAAGUAUAAAAGAGAUUUGGAGAAAAAGACCCAAAUCAAUCAACAGAUUUAAUCUGUUCAAUGUGAAACACAAUCUUAGGUUUUUUUCUUUUUUUCUUGGGGACAUGAGGUGGGGAAAGCUUUGAAUAAAGUCAAAAUGCUCAAAAUUCCUCUGUUUUCAUGAUCUACCUACUGCUUAGGGACUAGAAGAACUUCCCAGAAUCCUUUGAGGUACAUUCCAAUUGUCCCCAAACCCCUGAUGCAUCCUUGUUCUGCAUGAAUUUAGCUUCAGGAAGAGAGAAUUUUUUAAGAGGGAGAAAUUCUCUAUUUCUCUGACUAAAAUGAAGAAGACCAUAUUCAGCACUUUUAUAACCAUUAUAUAAAUACCUUGCCAUGCAAAUACCUUGCCAUGAAGCCAACCCAGGAACUGGUAGAGCCCAGUUUCCUCUACUCCACCAUCCUUGCCCCCAUCAUUUCCCUCCUCUUCCUCUUGGUUUUACUGCCUGAAGCUGUAGCCUCCUUUUACAGAAAAGAGAUUGGGAAAGAGAAAACAAGUUAAGAAAGCACCAGUCCAAAAUGUGAUUCCCAUUUCCACAUCUCCCAUAGGUAAUAUUCCAGAGCUCCACAUGUAGCUCCAUCGUUAGGAAACACGAGACACUGAUGAUGCACCUCACUGCUCCCAACCUAGGUGUCCUCUUCUGUGAAAUGGUUAUAGCUACCAAUAGUUACUGCAGUAAGGAUUAAAUGAGAUAUACAAGUAAAAUUCCUAGUACAAUGAAUAAGUACCCAAUAAAUUAUUAAUAAUAAUAAAACGGCAACUAAAAUUUAUAAAGCGCUAUGGAUUAAGCACUCUGUUAACAGCUUUAUACAUGGUCUCAUUUAAUCCUUAUGACAUCUCUGUGAAGUAUUACAAACAUCAUCCUCAUUUUACAGAUGAAGAAACUGAAGCACAGAGGUUAGGUAACUUGACCAAAGGUCAUGAAGCCACUAGGUAGAAAGAUGUGAUUUAACCAAGCCGGUCUACCUAAUUGUUAAUUUCCUUCUCUCUCCCAGUCCCUAGGAUCUUAAGUUUUUUGUUGUCACCAAAACAUCUACAUUUGAUCUCUACUUCUACUUGAGGAUGGGGUGAGAAUGAGAAAAAUUUUUAGGUUAAGUGGAUUGGUAUAUUUUCCUUCUCUUCUCUUCCUGCCUACAUUAAGUUUGUGUUGCUCUUUUGACUUUCUAAGACUUAUACUGUUAGGCAUUCUAAGCAUCAGCUAUGAGCAGAAAUAAAUUCUGCCACGAACUGAUGUAAAUGUGGAAACUUACAGGAAAAAUGAAAUAAAGAAAGCAUGUAAAGAUUUACCACAUCAAGAGAGUUCUUGAAGCUGGGGUGAGGCUUUAACAAUUUGAAACACUUUUUUUUUUCCUAAUUCUCUUUCAGAUUCACUUGUACUUGUUUUAUCUGUCUACAACCAGGUCCCACACUGUAAAGUAUGAGGACAGAGUACAAUUCACAGUCUCAAAUAUGUGUCUUUCCCUCCCUACAAAAUGUUUCCUCUGAGGGACAUUACUAGAUCACAGCUGGUCAAAAUACUAAAUCUUGAUUGUCUGGCUCCCGGCCAAAAUCUACAGCUACAACUCAGUGGAAUAAGAAUAUUUAAAAAGAAAAAAAAAGACUUUUAAACAACAUUUGAUCUUCUUCUUUCUCCCUCCUUGUAGCAAUCUAUGACCUCAUGGCAGUGAGACCUCUACAUGGAGGUGUUUAAGUUGGUUUACGGCCACCAGAAAUGUUUGAAGCUCUAGGUACUAGUCUGCGCCAAUAUCAUGUCAACUGUGUUAAAAAGCAAUAAUAGUUUCUCACCUUCUUAAAGAUUACUGCUUAAAUAAUGCAGAGCAACGACAGGCUUGCACAGAGUGCCAAAAGCGGGUUGCCAAGGCAAAGCUGAGGUAGAAUUACGUCUUUUGGCAGCUAAGAAAUUAUGACAUAAAGUUAGUUUUUUCAAAAAAACAACCUUCAUAAAUUAAGCUACUAUCCUUUUUUCAAAAUUCAGCAAAGGUUGGGAUUUAUCCUUCUUCUUUCCCUCUCUCAGAUCAAGUAGGAGCUCAGAACCUCCUUUAGGGAAAGCCAAAUUUAACAGCUAGAUCUUAUCUCCCAGGAGGUAGCUGGGGGUUAAUAGUUUUAAGCAUGCAUUCUCCAGGCCACAGGCAAGCAAUCCAAAGGCCUCUCACCAUUACCAGAUAAGUGUAAGUACUUAAUCUUUGCCCUGGAUGUUAACAAAAACAUGAAACAAAAUAAAAAUAGAAACAAUAUUGGGCCAAAAGCACAGGCUGAAAUCUGUGCCAAUGGUCACUUUUCCCCCGGGGCUUUGCUUGGAAGGUUUCCUACCAAAGUCUGUCUAAAUAAAAACAGAGUAUAAAAAGGUAUAACUGAACAAGGCAGCCUUUGGAUUUUAUUUAAACCAAGUAGUGAUGGAAAGAUGAAUUGGUGAAAGAGAAAGUUCCACAGGCAAAAGACAAAAUAAGCAAGCUGAAGAAAUCCAGUUCACCAGGCUUUGUGAUGUGAGGUCUUGGCCAUCAGGCCUCCAUGGCCCAGCUUGGGCCAGUGGACAGAGGAUGAGGGGGUGCCUAUUGCCGAGAGCCCAUCUGGAGGCCAGCUCAGGCUCCAGGCUGAGCUCCAUGGGAUCAGGGAAUACACAGUGAUCCUCCACGGAGAUAAAGAGAGGUCCUGGGAGGGGUCAAGUCAACCACUUCACUCAUCAGCUUUCACUUUAAGAAAUCAUCAUACAAAUUAAUGUAGUAAAAUCACAGUCAGGCAACCAACAUUAUGAGGACUGUAAAAUGGUCUGUAGAAACAGACAUAGCCCAUCUUGAUGUCAUUUAUAUAGGGCUUAAGUAACAUCCUACACGAGAACAUGGAAAGAACAGGAAAGAGAUGCCAGGAAUGAUACCUGGGGACCCCUCGGAGUAUCUGGACAACACUUGAUACUUGGGAAUAAUAAACUGUUUAUGCUGAAAACCAGGGAAAAAAUGAAAAAAAAAAACAAAAAAACCCAAAACCUCUGCCUUUGCCAGGGAAACCAGAGGAACAACAAUCUCACAGAACCCAGCCCCCAGAAGGAACUCGAUAGGGAAAUUAAAACCCUGGUCAGAGAAUGCUUUCAGAGUUUAAAAACUAGACUUGGAAGGGAGCUAAAGGAUGCAUUAGACUCCCAGGGCCAGUGACAGAAUCUGUGAGAUGAAGUCUUUGAAAGAUACUACUAACACUGACCUACCAUCAGCUCUCUAAUAAACUCUCACUGAACCAAACUGUGAGGGUUUAGUUGUUUGUUACUUUAAAAGAAAAAUGGAUAGCUCUGCCACCAUUUUCAGAGAUGCUGGAGGCCUUGGGCAGAAGUGUUUGAGUUGCAAUUUGCCGCAAUUUAAUUACUGUUUAGUAAGAGACUGGGACUCUAGAGAUGACAUCUUGGUAACCUUAUCUUUUGUAGUCCCCUAUACUCCUAAAGGAGGCAGAGUAUAAAACAAAUUAAUUGAUUUACCCCCUUAUUCAAAUAUGUAUUGAGUAUCUAGCUGCGCUAGACUCUGGGGCUAUAAUAAUUGGAAAAAAGCCAUGGUUCAUGUUUUAAUGGAAUUUAUUGUCUAGUGAGAGAGGACAGACAAGUACACAUACAUCACAUACAUCAAUGUCAAACAACCACCUCUGACCCAAGCUAUGCAGGAGAGGACACGGGCUCAAAGAGCUUGUAGCAGAGAUCUGACCCAGACAGAAAAGGACAAGAUUAGAAGGGCUAGUAGAGUUCUUCACCAGGUAAAGAAUGGGUUGGUGGGGAAGAGUAUCUUCCAGGUAGCAGGAACAGCAUUUGCUAAGACCUUUUAUCAAGAAAGAUAACAAUGUUUGAGGACCCAAAAGGUCAAUGAGUGAAGAGUUCUAUGGUAGAAGAUAAAACUGAGGAGGAAAACAAAGUCUGGACCAUGCAGAAGCCACAAGCCAUGUUUAGAACUUUCAGGCAAAGAAGAGAGAGAGAGAAAGCGAGAGAGAGAGAGAGCGAGAGAGAGUGUGAGAGUGAGUGAGUGUGUGUGUCAGAGGUGCAGAGAGAGAGAGAGAGAGAGACAUUUAUACUUUGGAAAGUGCACUCUGGCUGCAGUUGGGAGAGCAGAAUGGAGGGGUCCAGAGUGGAUGGUGGGAGACUGCAGGCUGUGCAGUAGUACAGGUGAAAGGUAAUGGAGGCAUGGAUCAGAAUGGAAAUGUACAGACAUAGACAAACAGAAAUAGCAGGAGAAAUUGGCAGGAAUUGCCAGAGUUGGAUAUAAGGGUGAGGAAGAAAAGGAGGAACAAAGGUUUUUGCCUGGCUUCCUGGCUAGUGUAAAAGAGUGAAAAGUGGUUUCAUUCGCAGAAAGCAAAGAGCUUAUCGUGACUGGGAUGGAAGACUGGUAGAAAAACGCAUGGGCACUUAGAAUGUGCUGUGAAAAUGUACAGGAGGCAAUUUCUGAUAUCAGAACUUAUCUCCACUUAGAAUAAAGUGAGAGAAAAAAGGGCCUAGGACUAAGCCUUUAGGAGCUCCAGCUUUUCGUGAUGAGGUAGAGGAAGAGGACCCUCCGAAUGAGAUAAGAAGGAGCAUUCAGAGAGGAAUGAAGAAAACCAGGAGAAGGCUGUAAUAACAAGAUUCCUUUUCUGGAAUCACCAGAUGCUAAAUGAUCCCUUGUGUAAAACACUUUAUUCUUAACAUAGUUAUAGGAGAGGUUGUCCAUGUAAUGGUUAAAGCAGGACUUCUAAAACUGCUCUGCCUGGGCUCAAAUCUUAGCUCUUCCACUUGAUGGCUGUGUCACAUUAAGUUAUGUAACCCCUCAGUUCCUCAGUUUCCUCAUUUCUAAGAUGGGAGAGGUUAGUAGGUCCUAAUUCACAGGGCUGUGUGAGGAGUAAAUGAGUUAACUGAAUACUAUGUUCAAAGUGCUUUGGAAGAGUGCCUGGUUUGCAGUAAUAGUCACUUGAUAUUAGCUACAAUGAUAUUAACUAUUAUUAUAGAUUGCUAUCCAUUAAGAGAAGAAUUAUAGAAUAAACAUCAUAUAAAAUGAUAUUUAAACUCUUUAAAAUUAAAACACAAGGCAUUUCCUCAGAUGGAUCCAGAGGCUAAAACAAAAUAAAACAAAACAAAACACAGGGAAUUAUAUCUAAAUCGAGCUUAAACCCAAAGGUCACAGCUGGGCGGGGUGGCUCAUGCCUGCAGUCCCAGCACUUUGGGAGGCAGAGGUGGGGGGAAUCACUUGAGCCCAGGAGUUCGAGGUUGCAGUGAGCUAUGAUGGCGCCACUGCACUUCAGCCUGAGCAACAGAGCGAGACACUGUCUCAAAACAAACAAACAAACAAACAAAAAAUACCUCCCAUGCCUGGCACCCAAGGUCAUACUGAAACAGCCAGUGCUCAUUUCUAAUGCUGCUGACACUUACCAGCUUUUGAUGGGCAAAGACCAUAUUGCUAAGCCUUCUUGAAACUUAGGACAGUGCAUUCGAUCCAGAAGGAUACUUAUUUACUGACACUUAUCAACAUAUGCUAAAGCAGUGGCCCCCAACCUUUUUGGCAGCAGGGACCGGUUUCAUGGAAGACAAUUUUUCCAUGGGCCGUGGGCAGGGGGGCUGGUUUCAGGAUGAAACGAUUCCAUCUCAGAUCAUCAGGCAUUAGCUUCUCACAAGGAGCACACAACCUAGAUCCCCCGCGUGAGUAGUUCACAGUAGGGUUUGCACUCCUAUGAGGAUCUAAUGCUGCUGCUGAUCUGACAGGAGGCGGAGCUCAGGGGUAACACUCGCUCAUCCUCUACUCACCUCCUGCUGUGAGGCCUGGUUCCUAACAGGACAUGGACUGCUACUGGUACAUGGCCGAGGGUUGGGGACCCCAGUGCUAAUGAAUGCCUACUGAAAAGCACUGCUUUUUUAGUGUGCCUAUCUCAGUGGCUUUUGUACUAAUUCCCUCUCCAAUUCAUUUAAGUAUGCCCAUCUUCUAAAACCCAAUUCAAGUCCUUUUUUUUUUUGAGAUGGGGUCUCGCUCUUUUUGCCCAGGCUUGAGUGCAGUGGUGCAAUCUUGGCUCACUGCAACCUCUGCCUCCCAUGUUCAAGUGAUUCUUGUGCCUCAGCCUCCCAAGUAGCUGGGAUUACAGGCAUACACUACCACGUCCGGCUAAUUUUUGUAUUUUUAGUACAGAUGGGGUUUCACCAUGUUGGUCAGGCUGGUCUUGAACUCCUGACCUCAAGUGAUCCGCCCACCUUGGCCUCCUAAAGUGCUGGGAUUACAGGUGUGAGCUACCACGCCAGGCCUCAUUGAUUCAUUCAUUCAUUCAUUUUUUUUUUUUUUUUUGAGACGGAGUUUUGUUCUUGUUGCCCAGGCUGGAGUGCAAUGGCACAGUCUUGGCUCACUGCAACCUCCACCUCCUGGGUUCAAGCGAUUCAAGUAGCUUGGAUUACAGGCGUGUACCACCACACCCGGCUAACUUUCUGUAUUAAUAGAGACGGGUUUUCACCAUGUUGGUCAGCUGGUCUCGAACUCCUGACCUCAGGUGAUCCACCCACCUCGGCCUCCCAAAGUGCUGGGAUUACAGGCGUGAGCCACCGUGCCCGGCCCUCAUUCAUUCUUUAACUCAUUUCUUUAACUCCUUCAUUCUGUCUUCUUUAACCAUGCCAAUCUAAGUGAUCUCUUUGAACUCUGAAGGUAGUACUUAUGUUACCAUCCAACUGAUGCUUAAUGUGAUCACUUGCAUUUUCAACACAUCUUUCAGACAUUACCGAAAUCCACAUUUCAUUGCCUGACAGUUUUUGAGGCUCUGGAAAUAAAGAGAUGUAUAAAAUAAGAUUCCUAUCAUUAAGGAGUUCCCACUCUAGUAGAGAAGACAGAGAGUUAACCAAUAACCAGAACACCAUGGUGCUCUGAAUACAAUACACACUUUGUAUAUUACAGUGAAGAAGGGAAUCAAGUAAUCAGUGGGAAGACUCAUCAGAGGAGGUUGUAUUUGAUUGGCACCUUGAAGGAUAAGUGGAAGCUAACCAGGCAGUGUACGUGUGUGUUGGGGGUGAGGUAGAGCAAGAAAUGAAGGGAAGGGCAUUUAAGGCAGAAUAAAAUACGGUAUUUGUGUGCAGUCCAACUGUGGAGCCAAGUCUUGUAAACAGCAUAUGGGAGGGAUCUAGUCUUUAUUUCUGGAAACCCCCUCUUCCGCUUUCCAAUAUAACUUAGUACAGAGCACACAGAUAUUCAGUGAAUAUACUUGUUUUAUGUAUAAAUGAAUUUAAUUAGUUGUGUGCAAAAGGAAACAUUUAGGUGAUGUUUUUUGGCAAUGUGUUGAGAAAAACACAACUACCUCAAUAUAUUGUUAUAGUAAAUCUAAAUGAUGAAAUACUACGUAGCCAUUAAAAAUGAUGCUAAAAAGUUUUAAAGGGCACUGAUAAAAUACUUAAGACAUUACGUUAUACAAAAAAGCUGUAAGGACUGUGCUGUCCACCAUGACCACUAGGAACUGGUUGCUGGAACUUGAAAUGUGGUUAGUCUGACUUGAGAUGUGCUACAAGAGUAAACUGGAUUUAGAAGGCUUAGUAUGAAAAAAGAGAAUGUAAAAUAUUUAUUAAUAAUCUUUAAAAUGUUUAUUACAUGUCUACAAGAUAUUUUGGAUAUAUAACUUGGAUUUUAUUUGAAUUAAAUAAAAUAUAUUAUUAAAAUUAGCUUACCUGUUUAUUUUUAGCUUUUUAAAAAUGUGACUGCCAGGCCGGGCAUGGUGGCUCACGCCUGUAAUCCCAGCACUUUGGGAGGCCGAG
rnacentral:lncRNA from 10 species